UACGGAGGGUGCGAGCGUUGUCCGGAAUUACUGGGCGUAAAGCGUGCGCAGGCGGUUAUGCAAGUCAGAUGUGAAAUCCCCGGGCUCAACCUGGGAACUGCAUUUGUGACUGCAUGGCUAGAGUACGGUAGAGGGGGAUGGAAUUCCGCGUGUAGCAGUGAAAUGCGUAGAUAUGCGGAGGAACACCGAUGGCGAAGGCAAUCCCCUGGACCUGUACUGACGCUCAUGCACGAAAGCGUGGGGAGCAAACAGG
rnacentral:rRNA from 1 species